AUCUCUUCUCGGCCUUUUGGCUAAGAUCAAGUGUA
rnacentral:snRNA from 1 species